AGAGUUUGAUCCUGGCUCAGGAUGAACGCUGGCGGUAUGCUUAACACAUGCAAGUUGAACGAAGAUAAUAAUUCAUUGAAUUAUAAUACUUAGUAGCGGACGGGUGAGUAACACGUAAGAAUCUACCUUUAGGAAAAGGAUAACAACUGGAAACGGUUGCUAAUACUUUAUAUGCUGAGAAGUUAAAUAGGUUACUGCCUAAAGAUGAGCUUGCGUCUGAUUAGCUAGUUGGUAAGGUAAAGGCUUACCAAGGCGAUUAUCAGUAGUUGGUCUGAGAGGAUGAUCAGCCACACUGGGACUGAGACACGGCCCAGACUCCUACGGGAGGCAGCAGUGAGGAAUUUUUCGCAAUGGGCGCAAGCCUGACGAAGCAAUACCGCGUGAAGGAUGAAGGCCUGCGGGUUGUAAACUUCUUUUAUUAGAGAAGAUAAUGACGGUAUCUAAUGAAUAAGCAUCGGCUAAAUAUGUGCCAGCAGCCGCGGUAAUACAUAUGAUGCAAGCGUUAUCCGGAAUGAUUGGGCGUAAAGCGUCUGUAGGUUGUUUAAAAAGUCAAUUGUCAAAAACUAAAGCUCAACUUUAGGUAGGCAGUUGAAACUUUUAGACUAGAGUAUGGCAGAGGUAGAGGGAAUUACUGGUGUAACGGUGAAAUGUGCAGAUAUCAGUAAGAACACCAACGGCGAAAGCACUCUACUGGACCAAAACUGACACUCAGAGACGAAAGCUAGGGGAGCGAAUAGGAUUAGAUACCCUAGUAGUCCUAGCUGUAAACGAUGGAAACUAAAUAUUGCGUUUUUUAAAUGCAGUAUUGUAGCUAACGCGUUAAGUUUCCCGCCUGGGGAGUAUGCUCGCAAGAGUGAAACUCAAAGAAAUUGACGGGGGCCCGCACAAGCGGU
rnacentral:rRNA from 1 species